GCUCCGUCAGCAGUGAGCCGGCGGAGAGAAACCAGAGCCACAAUGGCCACACAUCCGGAGCCAAAAUGGCCGACAGACCCGCAGCCCAGCAGCGGUCCGUGACCUCCGACCCUGCAGAGCGCCCGUCCUCCAAACCAAAGAAGAAGAAGGUGGGCCUGUUCAGAUGAGCAGUAGGACGCACACACACUCAGAACCGCAUCCACAGAAACCGCUCUGUCACUCAGACACUUCGCUUCGACACUGUUUUUAACCUUUUUACUCUGACGGACAUUUAAUCAGAUUUUAGAUUUAAGAUGUAAAUAAAUGAACUCAUCGCUCUUUUUUUUUUUAAAUGAUUCUCCGUGUAAUCAGGCUUUAGCAACAGUAUGAACAUGCAGGUAAUUAAUUGUACUUUUUAGGUUUUAAGUCGUGUGGUUUUGGAUAUUCUGGAUUGUUUGGGGAUUUUAAAGAAACUGUCAAUUAAAGAUGUAAACGUCAUUUUAA